rnacentral:rRNA from 1 species
AACGAACGCUGGCGGCAGGCUUAACACAUGCAAGUCGAACGCUCGUAGCAAUACGGGAGUGGCGGACGGGUGAGUAACGCGUGGGAACGUGCCCUGAGGUACGGAAUAACUGAGGGAAACUUCAGCUAAUACCGUAUGAGCCCCGAGAGGGGGAAAGAUUUAUCGCCUUGGGAGCGGCCCGCGUCGGAUUAGCUAGUUGGUGGGGUAACGGCCUACCAAGGCUUCGAUCCGUAGCUGGUCUGAGAGGACGAUCAGCCACACUGGGACUGAGACACGGCCCAGACUCCUACGGGAGGCAGCAGUGGGGAAUCUUGCGCAAUGGGGGCAACCCUGACGCAGCCAUGCCGCGUGAACGAUGAAGGCCUUAGGGUUGUAAAGUUCUUUUACCCGUGACGAUGAUGACGGUAACGGGGAAUAAGCUCCGGCUAAACUUCGUGCCAGCAGCCGCGGUAAU